UGGGGAAUUUUGGACAAUGGGAGAAAGCCUGAUCCAGCAAUGCCGCGUGUGUGAAGAAGGCCUUCGGGUUGUAAAGCACUUUUGUCCGGAAAGAAAUCCUCUGGGUUAAUACCUCGGGGGGAUGACGGUACCGGAAGAAUAAGCACCGGCUAACUACGUGCCAGCAGCCGCGGUAAUACGUAGGGUGCAAGCGUUAAUCGGAAUUACUUGGCGUAAAGCGUGCGCAGGCGGUUUUGUAAGACGGAUGUUAAAUCCCCGGGCUUAACCUGGGAACUGCAUUCGUGACUGGAAGGCUAGAGUAUGGCAGAGGGGGGUAGAAUGCCACGUGUAGCAGUGAAAUGCGUAGAGAUGUGGAGGAAUACCGAUGGCGAAGGCAGCCCCCUGGGCCAAUACUGACGCUCAUGCACGAAAGCGUGGGGAGCAAACA
rnacentral:rRNA from 1 species